GCGCCUUUUCUCGUGGAACCGUGUACAGCUCGUCAGACGGUAGUGCAACUGUGUUUCUUGGCAAUCAAUUACUAAGAGUUUGUGAUUUUUAGGCGAUUUUGCAGAUACAUGAUACAGAGGAAGUGUACUCUACAAGUGGUUUCAUUCUUCGGAUGUCUGCUUUUGAACGUCGAGUUUAACCAUGUAGCCCGGAAGCGCUUGCUAAAAACAAGAAGAAAUCAAACAAGCAUCAUCAACUCACCACCCGCGCCGCGUAUGGAAACGAUCGCACCAAUUCCAAUCUUACUGUUGAUAGACCGCAAAAGGCAAACCGAUCACGUGGAUCGAAUGCGAAAUUAAUUGCAGCUAGGAAAACGUUUCCAAUACACCUCAGAUUAUGGGUCACUCUGGAAGUUAUGCUGGCAGUUGUGUACAAAAUUUGUUCAGCUCGUUUGUUUACAUUUUGGACCGGGCGCGCGAUGGAGAAAAUCGAGUUUUUCAGUUCAGUGAAAGAGGAUAAUUUACCGGAAAAUAAGGCUUUCUGUAGGUUGUGUCUUCUUAGCAAGAUCGAUGAGCAGACGGUUGAGUUUUGUAGCUUUUCGGUAGACGUAUUGUACGAACGGGUUCGGCAGUGUACCGGCGUCCGGCUUAUUAAUUUUCUCGACAUCAACCCGAAGGUUUGUGAUGCUUGUGUUUCGCAGCUUGUUAGCUGUGAACGGUUUGUGAAGCAAUGUCGCGAGGUGGACGAAAAAUUGACGAACUUAAGGCAACUCUGCAAGCAGAAAACACGUGUAGCAACAGGACGAACCGAUAAACCCUCUUUCCCCGUAGAGCAACGGAGCAAUGAAGAAGUAUUACCCGUAGCAAAGGUACAGCAUUCGCCGCCUAAAUUAGAUGAAAAAGAGCCCUACAUGCCCUGCAAUGGAAAGAGUAAUGCCGGUGACGAGUUUUAUGUGGUCGAAGCUGUCGAUACCAACCAUGAGUAUGACAUCGACCUUGCUACGGAAGCUGUACCCGGGAAGGGUAAUGGAAAAGCGAAAGUUUUACCCAUCAAAAAGCGUUCCAGUAAUGGUAGCAAGAACAUUAAACGGUUGAAAUGUCCUGUUUGUGGCACGAUGCAGCAAAGAUUGAAACAGCACAUGCUUGUACAUACGGGUGAAAAGAAACACGUGUGUCCCGUUUGCCAGAAAGCCUUCUCACAGAAGGGUAAUUUAACGUACCACAUGAAUCAACACGCGGACAGCUCGCCGUACGGGUGCGAUCAGUGUGAGAAAGCGUUUAAAGAACCGCAAUCACUGCGAUCGCAUAAGCUCAUACACACGGAUGAACGUAAAUUCCGUUGCGAAGUGUGCGAAGAAACGUUCAAAUAUAAAAGCUCUCUAACCGUCCAUUUGCGAGCGCACACACAGGACAAGCGAUAUUCGUGUGGCGAGUGUGAAAAAUCAUUUAUUACCAGCUCCGGGUUGAAAAAACACCAACGAACGCACACCGGCGAAAGACCGUACGAGUGUAGCGAGUGUGGCAAAUCGUUUAAAGCAUCCCACAACUUAAGCUUGCACCGGCUUUCACACACCAAAGAACGUCGCUUUCAGUGUGAUCUUUGCGAGAGUUGGUUCAGCUACAAGAACGUGCUAAAGGCGCACAUGAAGGUGCAUCUGCCAAAGGAGCGUGCGAAGAACCGUGUCCCGCACCACCCAAACACUACGCCGAACUUGGCUGCAAACCAAUCCUAGACGAAGGUCAAUGUUGCCCGAAAAGGUACGAAUGUCCGGAGUUGACGGAUCGUGACGGAAACAAGUGUUACUUUAAUGGAAAAAUUUACUCCGCUGGUGGAAAGCUGGCGCCGGCCGAUCAGGAACAGAACUCCUGCUCGCCUGCCUGCUUCUGCACAAACAACACUACGCCCGCCACCUUCCAGUGUGCCAGUAUCGAUUGUUUCGAGUUUAUGGAUGCGGGUUCCGAGGACUGCAUCCACCAGUACUCGCUGCAUGGAUGCUGUGCGGAGAACACGGUCUGUGGCAAGGAGAAGCUUGAAAAGCUCGCCCAAUGCUAUCUGGACGAUAAGCUGUACUACGAGGGCCAGCGGAUGUAUCCGGCGGACGAGCCGUGCCGAACGUGCCAGUGUAAGCCGGGCUUCGACAACGGCACGAUCGUGGACAAUCCCAACUGCUACGAAAUUCAGUGCGGGCUGGAACUUCACGCCGGCGAUCGGAUUGCGAUGGGCUGCAUACCGAUCUACUUCGGCAAUCAUCGAUGCUGUCCGAUCUCGUGGAAGUGCCCUUCCGACAGCGAUGAGGUGAUCGUCGAGGGGCGCACGGAGCAAACGGAGGUGCCGGCGCCGAACAUGCAGUGCAAGUUCGGUAAGCUGACGCUCAACAAGGGUGAUGGCAUUACGAGCGAUAAUAAGUGUGUCGAUUGCAAGUGCACGGUACCACCGUUGGCCCACUGCAUCCAGCGGGCCGAUUGUUAGGUUUAGCUUAAGCAUUUUCUGUGUUCUUUUUUUUGUGUUGUUUCUUUCCGUACGGUUAUUAUUUAAAAUGAUGUACUUAAAACCACCGUGGCAUUGGUGGAUUGGUGGAAUAAAUCAACCAAUAGUGUAGGUGAUUA